CUUCGUAGGAGGACGAGGCUUCAUCAACGGUUCAGAAAUCCAUAUUCCUCCCUAAAAUCUGACCAGAAGGAACAGAUUGAUGAUUUCGGCCAUCUCAUUUUCCUUGUGUUGUUUAACUUUACCUAACAAGCAUCAGAAAUACCGGGAUCAACAACAACAAAAUACAUGUCCAAGCUGUGCCCAAACCUUUUCAGUAAGAGCAAAAAAAUCUUUAGUCUGCUUCUGGGGAAAAAGAAGAAGAUGAGUGAGGGGGGCUUAAAGGCCAGGUCCUCACCACCUCUUGGGACCUGUCAGAGGAGGAGACGGUGGAUCACACUGCCCUUAGAUUUGUGUUUGAGAAGUUACUUGAUUGAUAUACACUGAGUGUACAAAACAUUAUGAACACCUGCUCUUUCCAUGACAUAGACUGAUCAGGUGAAUCCAGGUGAAAGCUAUGAUCCCUUAUUGAUGUAUUUGUAUUUAUUAUGGAUCCCCAUUAGUUCCUGCCAAGGCAGCAGCUACUCUUCCCGGAGUCCAGCAAACAUUAAGGAAUAUACAUAUACAUUAUAAUACCAUUUCACAAUAGAUUAAUUGUGUGCCCUCCAGGCACUACCUUACUACAACACAAUCCAGGUGUACGUGUGUGUAUAAUGUGUAUGUAUGUGUGUGUUUGUAUGUCACCUGUUAAAACCUCCACAGGAUCGGUGGGUCCCCCGUGGGAUGGUUGAGUAGGCUAAUGUGAUUAGCAUGAGGUUGUAAGUAACAAGAACAUUUCCCAGGACAUAGACAUGUCUGAUAUUGGCAGAAAGCUUAAAUUCUUAUUCAUCUAACUGCACUGUCCAAUUU